UUGGAUUGGUAUUUGGUAUCGGCUGACACCCAGGAUGAGGUGUUGGAAUCAUUAUUGAGGAAGAAAAAAUUGCAUUAGUGCAUCCCUAGUUCUUUUUUCUGUGGCUAGCUCUCCCACUGUUAAUUGAUCCUGAUAUCAAAUAAAAUACUCACACAACACUGGACAGUAUAGGGUUGACACACUUCAAUGAUCAGGGGAAUACAACAAUAGAGCAAUGGUGUAACCAUCACAGAGAUUUAUCCAUAAUUAGCUGACCAAAUCAAGCUCUUACUGACUCUCUGUGUAUUUGGUCUUGCUGCUUUUAUAAUAAAUUAUACUGUACUAUACUGUACAAGAAAGUGUGACCUAGAGAGCAUGACCCAUCUCACUCUGCCUUUUACCCCCCACAAGCUUAGCGAUCACUUUUCUGUUUGGCCCAGUUUGCCUGAAUGGAUUAUUCUGAAUAUUGUAUGAUCUCACACAAAUGGAUGUCUGCUAUUUACCUUCCAUGGUUUCUGUAGAAAGGUUCAAGAAAGCAACUAUGAAAUACUCUUUAAUGGAGGUGAUGAAGGAAUUCAUACAUUUACCCAACCAACCAGUUAGUCUUCAUCCUUGAAGUCUGUCUCGUUCUGAUAAAGCACAAAUCUCACCUUUGUGUCACUUGUCCUUGUAAGUUUUCUAUUGCCACACCUUGUUUGGCUCAUUGUGGUGUGUCAAGCCGUAACAGACCCAUUACUUCCCUGUGAGGCUCCAUACACCCACCAGUACGUGACAGUUGGUAAGAACUGCAGUUGUAGCAGCUGUUUUUCUCUCAGCGGCCUCAAGUGGCAACAAUGAGCCCAUUCCUUACUCCAAGUGACACAAGGGCCACUGUUAACCAUGCCAUAUACUGCAUUGCAACGUCAGGUCACUGGAUGUACAGCAUGAUCAUGGACUUUUAAUGGACUUCUUUUCCAUUCAGUGUGGAAUUUUCCAAGUACAGCCAGUGCUGCAGUGGUCAGAGUGAUGGCGUAAAGGAAGACGAAAAGGAAGGAGGCAGAAUGAAGGGUGAACGUGACUUAACACACACCAAAAAAAAACAAACAAACACCCUUCUGAGCCCUUGUGAUGAAGGACCCACCACCUUAUCUUCCUCAGCAAAUUCAGUGGAAAAAUACCAGACAGACAUAAAGAUACAGAGGCAGCUGAGAUGGAGAGCCCCCAAAAACACCGACGAGCUGAAUGUUUAAAGUUAUUGUAAAGUGGAUGCUACAGAAUCUCUUAGUUAGUUUACUUUAAUUUUCAUUUAACUCAUUUAUAAAUAUUACGAAUCUGCCUAAACCCUAAUGGUGUUAAUAAAAAAGACAUACAUGAAAUAAAUUAAAGGUUAUGUAGGCAUAUAUGAAAUUCACUGCCUCUGCAUGUCAGACUACAGCAUCAGCAUCUCAAAUCAAAACAAAUCCCUUGCAGAUAAUGGAAAACACACUUCAAACUGGACACAAACAAAAUAAACAAAUCAAGCAGGUGAUGUUUCCAUGUGUAUAUUUUAAAGAUAUCUUCUUGCUAGGUUCCCACUAUUACAUUUUGCAAUGUAAACGUUAUUGCACCUCUAUGUAAGUCUGACCAAUUACAUGGGAUAAGCUUUGAAAUGUGUUUACUCAUAUCACAUCAUUUCCUAAAUUCCAUUAACUGGGCCUACAUUUUCCCAAAUGACAGAAAAAUUAUUUCCAAUGAAUUGACUGUAGUUUUUUGUCUCUUUUUAGACCUUUGAAAAAGUAAGGAGUCUCUGAAGGCCAGUAUAAAAAAGAUAAUACUGUCUGCCUAAAAAUCAUCAUGCCUCUCUUCAGAGAGAAACCAGUCAACUGCUCCUACGUCGUCAGUUUGAACUUGGCAGUGGUAAUGAUGGCUACAGAUAAAGGUGACGAUUCCUCAUCAGAACACCCGUGGCCAUUAUCUGAGGUCUAUGUUUGGGAUUUUUCAAAUGAAGAAAGAUCCAUAUUGUUUUAAAUAUUUGCUCUGUUUUCCACAUACAAACUUCAUCACGGCUCAUGAAAAACCUGAGAAAACAUUUUGAGUUUGUUGAAUUCCAUAUAAACAUUUUAAACAGUUUUCUGUGAUUUUA